GCCCAGAUGGCGGAAUUGGUAGACGCGCUAGACUCAAAAUCUGGUUUUCGAAAGGGAGUGCAGGUUCGAUUCCUGUUCUGGGCACCA
rnacentral:tRNA from 1 species